rnacentral:lncRNA from 1 species
GUAGACAUCGUCUUGUCCUCAGAAAGAAAUGUAUGAGGCAGCACGGAGGAUUGAAAGGGGCAUAAAAUGCUGAAGAAACAGGCAGUGAAUGAGUCUCUGUCUCCUUCUCCUCUCCCAUCUCCGGUAGGCGUCAGUGCCCCCUAGACACACCCAAAGCCAGGCCAGGGCCUUCUGCUAAUGUAGGUAAGUAACCUCUAACAGAAAAUGGGAUUCAACUGAGGAGUAAAGAUCAACAACCAAAACUUCCAUGCCCGUCAUCCCAGUCGGUUCAGAGGAUGGAUUAACCGCUCCAGACUUUACAUCUGUACCUGAUGUUACUGCCUGGAGCUCACCAAAUCAAAGGGAUGCAGAGAGAAAAAUGCUUAUAUCUGUGCUUACUUUUUUUUUCUUUUGAGAGAGAGUCUCGCUCUGUCGCCCAGGCUGGAGUGCAGUGGCGUGAUCUUGGCUCACUGCAACCUCCAUCUCCCAGGAUCAAGUGAUUCUCAUGCCUCAGCCUCCUGAGUAGCUGGGAUUACAGGCAUGCGCCACCAUGCCCAACUAAUUUUUGUAUUUUUAGUAGAGAUGGGGUUUCACCAUGUUGGCUAGGCUGGUCUCGAACUCCUGACCUCAGGUGAUCCACUCACCUCAGCCUCCCAAAGUGCUGGGAUUACAG